rnacentral:rRNA from 1 species
GUGCACGCUGGCGGUAGGCCUAACCCAUGCCCGUCGCACGGCAGCACAGUAAGAGCUUGCUCUUACGGGUGGCGAGUGGCGGACGGGUGAGGAAUACAUCGGAAUCUACUUUUUCGUGGGGGCUAACGUAGGGAAACUUACGCUAAUACCGCAUACGACCUACGGGUGAAAGCAGGGGAUCUUCGGACCUUGCGCGAUUGAAUGAGCCGAUGUCGGAUUAGCUAGUUGGCGGGGUAAAGGCCCACCAAGGCGACGAUCCGUAGCUGGUCUGAGAGGAUGAUCAGCCACACUGGAACUGAGACACGGUCCAGACUACUACGGGAGGCAGCAGUGGGGAAUAUUGGACAAUGGGCGCAAGCCUGAUCCAGCCAUACCGCGUGGGUGAAGAAGGCCUUCGGGUUGUAAAGCCCUUUUGUUGGGAAAGAAAAGCAGCAGGUUAAUACCCCGCUGUUCUGACGGUACCCAAAGAAUAAGCACCGGCUAACUUCGUG